CGGUAAUACGUAGGUGCGAGCGUUAAUCGGAAUUACUGGGCGUAAAGCGUGCGCAGGCGGUUUGGUAAAGUCAAGAUGUGAAAUCCCCGGGCUCAACCUGGGAACUGCAUUUGAGACUGCCAGGCUGGAGUUUGGCAGAGGGGGGUGGAAAUUCCACGUGUAGCAGUGAAAUGCGUAGAGAUGUGGAGGAACACCGAUGGCGAAGGCAGCCCCCUGGGCCAAUACUGACGCUCAUGCACGAAAGCGUGGGGAGCAAACAGGAUUAGAUACCCUGGUAGUCCACGCCCUAAACGAUGUCAACUUAGGUGUUGGGAGGGUUAAACCUUUUAGUGCCGUAGCUAACGCGUGAAGUUGACCGCCUGGGGAGUACGGCCGCAAGGCUAAAAACUCAAAGGAAAUUGACGGG
rnacentral:rRNA from 1 species